AUAUCAGGCUUGUAUCAAUGAUGAGAAAAAACAACAACAGCACGUUGACGUGACAGGAGUAAAGAAAUAAAACUCAAAAUAAAGGUUAUGUCUGAACACUGACGUCUGUCGAGUUAGCGUGAAGUUCCACCAAUUAACGUGAAGCUGUAUUUAGAGGGUGGUGCUGUUUACGCAGCAUCUGGUCCUAGGCUACAGUAGCUGUCAAAAGCCGCCGUUGCAGUAUUAUAAAUAGAAACUGCGAAGGGGCGGGGCUCCGGGGAAUCCUGCAGCUGAUUGGACAGCUUCAUUCAACCUUGACGACCAAGUAUUGCAAUUCAGAUGAAAUAUUGCAUCGAUUGCAUCGUUUUCCACGACUGCGGUGAUAAAGGCGGAUGUAUGUACUCAGCCUAAUGUGUCACCCUUCAGCAGCUCCCUCACUGCGGUUCUGAAAGCUCGCACUUCCCCUUUCCAGCUGUUAAAAAUUGACAAACUGCAAAGCUAGCAGAUGGACGGACAUGCAGAACAGAAGGAUGAAGGAUGAGUGAGCAGAAAAUGAAAAAGGAUAUAUGAAAUAAGGUUCCAAAGUUAAGCCAUUUUCAAAGGAGUCUCUGCCAAGUGAUGAUGGUCUGAAGACAACACAGCAGCAUCAGGAAAGAUUCAGUAUCCACAGGAUGACUUCUGUAACCUGAGAGUCUACAUUACCAGCUGACACAUCCUCAGUAGACAAGAAACCCUUUAGACUGGUGGAGGACAUGAUCUGGACAGUUAACAUCUGCUACUCUGUGCAUUAUGUAUACACACUUUAUAUUUCCAUUUCAUUCACUAUGAAUAAAGUGCUUUAUUUCUAA